UCCGGCUUAUCACCGGCGGUUUCCUUAGAGUGCCCAACUAAAUGGUAGCAACUAAGGACGAGGGUUGCGCUCGUUGCGGGACUUAACCCAACAUCCCACGACACGAGCUGACGACAGCCAUGCAGCACCUGUGCACGGACUCCGAAGAGGGGCCGAUGUUUCCACCGGCUUUCCCGUGCAUGUCAAGCCCAGGUAAGGUUCUUCGCGUUGCUUCGAAUUAAACCACAUGCUCCACCGCUUGUGCGGGCCCCCGUCAAUUCCUUUGAGUUUCAGCCUUGCGGCCAUACUCCCCAGGCGGCGAACUUAACGCGUUAGCUUCGAUACUGAGGGCCAAGUUGCCCCCAACAUCCAGUUCGCAUCGUUUAGGGCGUGGACUAC
rnacentral:misc_RNA from 1 species